rnacentral:rRNA from 1 species
UGACUGUGCUUGCACGGGGGAUAGUGGCGAACGGGUGAGUAACACGUGAGUAACCUGCCCUUGACUUCGGGAUAAGCCUGGGAAACUGGGUCUAAUACUGGAUACGACCUCUCAUCGCAUGGUGUGGGGGUGGAAAGUUUUUGCGGUUUUGGAUGGACUCGCGGCCUAUCAGCUUGUUGGUGAGGUAAUGGCUCACCAAGGCGACGACGGGUAGCCGGCCUGAGAGGGUGACCGGCCACACUGGGACUGAGACACGGCCCAGACUCCUACGGGAGGCAGCAGUGGGGAAUAUUGCACAAUGGGCGAAAGCCUGAUGCAGCGACGCCGCGUGAGGGACGACGGCCUUCGGGUUGUAAACCUCUUUCAGUAGGGAACAAAGCAUCAUUUUUGUGGUGUUGAGGGUACUUGCAGAAGAAGCACCGGCUAACUACGUGCCAGCAGCCGCGGUAAUACGUAGGGUGCAAGCGUUAUCCGGAAUUAUUGGGCGUAAAGAGCUCGUAGGCGGUUUGUCGCGUCUGUCGUGAAAGUCCGGGGCUCAACUCCGGAUCUGCGGUGGGUACGGGCAGACUAGAGUGAUGUAGGGGAGACUGGAAUUCCUGGUGUAGCGGUGGAAUGCGCAGAUAUAAGGAGGAACACCGAUGGCGAAGGCAGGUCUCUGGGCAUUAACUGACGCUGAGGAGCGAAAGCAUGGGGAGCGAACAGGAUUAGAUACCCUGGUAGUCCAUGCCGUAAACGUUGGGCACUAGGUGUGGGGGACAUUCCACGUUUUCCGCGCCGUAACUAACGCAUUAAGUGCCCCGCCUGGGGAGUACAGCCGCAAGGCUAAAACUCAAAGAAAUUGACGGGGGCCCGCACAAGCGGCGGAGCAUGCGAAUUAAUUCGAUGCAACGCGAAGAACCUUACCAAGGCUUGACAUGAACCGGAAAGGCGUAGAAAUACGUCCCCCACUUGUGGUCGGUUUACAGGUGGUGCAUGGUUGUCGUCAGCUCGUGUCGUGAGAUGUUGGGUUAAGUCCCGCGACGAGCGCAACCCUCGUUCUAUGUUGCCAGCACGUGAUGGUGGGGACUCAUAGGAGACUGCCGGGGUCAACUCGGAGGAAGGUGGGGAUGACGUCAAAUCAUCAUGCCCCUUAUGUCUUGGGCU